ensembl:vault_RNA Vault Vault RNA
ACACUGGUUUAGCUCAGUGGUUACUUCAAUAUUCUACGAUACAGAAUCAGAUUGUCCCCACGUGGGAUCGAACCCCGGGCGCUGUCCAGUGUUUUU